GCCAGGCGUGGUGACGCAUGCCUGUAAUCCCAGCUACUCGGGAGGCUGAGGCAGGAGAAUCGCUUGAACCCGGGAGGCAGAGGUUGCAGUGAGCCAAGAUCGCGCCAUUGCACUCCUGCCUGAGUAACAGGGCGAGACUCCGUCUCAA
rnacentral:SRP_RNA from 1 species